GAGUGUGGGGAAAUCUUUCCUCUCCGUAAAGGUUCUAAAAUCAACUACUGAAGAAGGUUCUACAAAGGAAUGCAUUGUUUAAAUAGCAGAGCUGGAGAGACGAACUUCACAAGAGAACCUUUUACAGCCGUGUGUCCUGGAAGCAGCAAUAACCUCAGUCUGUGACAGGGGAGGCCUUUUCAUCUUGAACCACACACUGUGUGGAGCAAGCGCCAGCAAAGCAACCGUGUUCUCCAGAGGACCAGCUCCCCAGCACUACUGCCUCUCCUCAUCCCUGCAAGCAUGUACUCGGGAGAAGGCAGGGAAGUCGGAGGGCACUGCCCACUGUGCCCAGGGGUCAAGGGCAGCAGUUCAUAUUCAGGUCACGGGCAGAGAGACCUCAGCCUACACAUGGCACCGCCCUGUUCUUCACUCAGACUGCCCCAGGUGACCUUCUACAGAGGGGCACCAUGGCAGCCAUUUCAAAAUGUCCCCAAAGGAGAUCACUCCCAAACACAGACCAGCUGGUGGGCAUGGGGAGGGGGCCAGGGCUUCAGGAGGACACAUGGAAAGACGCCCUGAAGAGGUUGAGAUUAAAUCACACCAGAAAAGGAAACACAAUGGCUCAACAUUCUCAGCUGUAGCCCCAGUGAAACCAGCAGGGCCUGUCCUCACCUGGUACGGGGAGCAUCACCCGAGGACCUGGGAGAGGACGGACAGAGGGUGCGUGGGGACAUGCAAAACCCAAAGCCAGCAGAGCUUAAAUGGAAAAUAUGCCUGCCUGAGCCCAGAUGCUGCCCCACCUACCACUGCAGCCAGUGCUCGGCCAUGGGCCACGCAGGCUCCAGCCUCAAGUCUACACCCCAGGCGGGUCCCACCACAUACCGAGUGCCAUGGUUCUUCUCAAAGUACGCGGCGCGCAGCCACACACUCUUCUUGCUGGGGAACACCUGCAGGGCGUAGGCGUAGAUGGCUCGUGCACACUCCA
rnacentral:lncRNA from 1 species